GACGAACGCUGGCGGCGUGCUAAACACAUGCAAGUCGAACGGUGAAGCGCCUUCCUUUUUGGUGGGUGUGGAUGAGUGGCGAACGGGUGAGUAACACGUGAGUAACCUGCCCCCUUCUUCUGGAUAACCGCAUGAAAGUGUGGCUAAUACGGGAUAUUCUGGGUCUGUCGCAUGAUGGGUCUGGGAAAGAUAUUGUUUCGGUGGGGGAUGGGCUCGCGGCCUAUCAGCUUGUUGGUGGGGUGAUGGCCUACCAAGGCGGUGACGGGUAGCCGGCCUGAGAGGGUGGACGGUCACACGGGGACUGAGACACGGCCCAGACUCCUACGGGAGGCAGCAGUGGGGAAUAUUGCACAAUGGGCGCAAGCCUGAUGCAGCGACGCCGCGUGAGGGAUGGAGGCCUUCGGGUUGUGAACCUCUUUCGCCAGUGAAGCAGGCCUGCCUCGUUUGUGGGUGGGUUGACGGUAGCUGGAGAAGAAGCGCCGGCUAACUACGUG
rnacentral:rRNA from 1 species